CGAAGGGGGCGUAAGUUGCUGCGGCUGCUGGCACAGUCCCGUCAAUCCCUUUGAGUUCCCGUCAAUUUCACUGAGUUCCCGUCAAUUUCUUUGAGUUGAGUGGCGGCUGCUGGA
rnacentral:rRNA from 1 species